AAUAGGUUGGCAGAUUAGUGCAAUUGAUUUAGGAUCAAAAUAUGUAUUUACAUACACCUAUU
rnacentral:tRNA from 1 species